rnacentral:tmRNA from 1 species
GGGGGUGACUGGUUUCGACGUUGGUCGUCUUACCAGGGGAAGCGGGCCGAGUACGCGAUGUGAUCUCGUUAAUCCUCGUCGCAAACCAAUAGUUGCCAAUACAUCGCGCAACGACCUCACCCUCGCUGCCUAAGCGAGGCCUGUAGGUCCGUCAGUCCGGGAACGCCUUCGGCCCGGGUCCUGGCGUCGACUAGGAGGCCACUGCCCAAAGGACCGGUCACGGGGCCUGCGGGAACACUAACCGUGACUGAGCCCGGCUCGGUGACCCGCCUGUGGGAUCGCCGGGGCUAAGAAAAGCCACAGCAGGCUGCGCCCGGAGAAGUCCUGGUUCUGCGCUGACGGACGGGGGUUCGAAUCCCCCCACCUCCAC